AAGUCGUAACAAGGUUUCCGUAGGUGAACCUGCGGAAGGAUCAUUACCGAGAUGGGGUCCUUCGGGGCCCGACCUCCAACCCUUUGUCUACAAAUCUUUGUUGCCUCGGCGGGCCGCCGGGCCUUCUUCACCGAUCGUCCGCCGUCGGCCUCUUUGGAGGCUCUCGAGCGCCCGCCGGUGGAUCACUUAAAAGCUCUCUUGAACGAGAACUUCUGAGUAAAUUUACAACAACUUCAAAA
rnacentral:misc_RNA from 1 species